rnacentral:rRNA from 2 species
AGUCGAGCGGACAGAAGGGAGCUUGCUCCCGGAUGUUAGCGGCGGACGGGUGAGUAACACGUGGGUAACCUGCCUGUAAGACUGGGAUAACUCCGGGAAACCGGAGCUAAUACCGGAUAGUUCCUUGAACCGCAGGUUCAAGGAUGAAAGACGGUUUCGGCUGUCACUUACAGAUGGACCCGCGGCGCAUAGCUAGUUGGUGGGGUAAUGGCUCACCAAGGCGACGAUGCGUAGCCGACCUGAGAGGGUGAUCGGCCACACUGGGACUGAGACACGGCCCAGACUCCUACGGGAGGCAGCAGUAGGGAAUCUUCCGCAAUGGACGAAAGUCUGACGGAGCAACGCCGCGUGAGUGAUGAAGGUUUUCGGAUCGUAAAGCUCUGUUGUUAGGGAAGAACAAGUGCGAGAGUAACUGCUCGCACCUUGACGGUACCUAACCAGAAAGCCACGGCUAACUACGUGCCAGCAGCCGCGGUAAUACGUAGGUGGCAAGCGUUGUCCGGAAUUAUUGGGCGUAAAGGGCUCGCAGGCGGUUUCUUAAGUCUGAUGUGAAAGCCCCCGGCUCAACCGGGGAGGGUCAUUGGAAACUGGGAAACUUGAGUGCAGAAGAGGAGAGUGGAAUUCCACGUGUAGCGGUGAAAUGCGUAGAGAUGUGGAGGAACACCAGUGGCGAAGGCGACUCUCUGGUCUGUAACUGACGCUGAGGAGCGAAAGCGUGGGGAGCGAACAGGAUUAGAUACCCUGGUAGUCCACGCCGUAAACGAUGAGUGCUAAGUGUUAGGGGGUUUCCGCCCCUUAGUGCUGCAGCUAACGCAUUAAGCACUCCGCCUGGGGAGUACGGUCGCAAGACUGAAACUCAAAGGAAUUGACGGGGG